UACGUAGGCAGCGAGCGUUGUUCGGAGUUACUGGGCGUAAAGCGUGCGUAGGCGGUGUCUUAAGUUUGUUGUGAAAUCUCCCGGCUCAACUGGGAGGGUGCGGCGAAUACUGAGAUGCUGGAGUGCGGGAGAGGUAAGCGGAAUUCCUGGUGUAGCGGUGAAAUGCGUAGAUGUCAGGAGGAACACCCGUGGCGAAGGCGGCUCUCUGGUCCGAAACUGACGCUGAGGUGCGAAAGCUAGGGUAGCAAACAGG
rnacentral:rRNA from 1 species